GGUAGGUCGCAAGAUUUACUGCUCACUGAAUGAAGCACCAAUGAACGUCGGCGAUAACUAUAAACAAUGACGAUUGUAGUUAUAAAAUUUCGCUAUAUGCUGGAAACUCUGCAAGUAUCCUAAAAUACUUUUAGUCCCGUGGUUCGGACUACAGGACUGAGUAAUAAUUUUUAGGCGACGCAGACAAUCAGCAGGCAACCUCAAUAAUAUUGAGAGAGUCCUCAGAGACUACACGCGAAAAUCGCUAAAAAAAGCGAUAUGAUAUAGUCCGAUCUUUAUGGCGACAUAAAGGCUGUCCCGAUAAAAAUAUCGCGGACUAAUAAAAAGAUGAAUCGUCCAAAGGUAUUACAAAAUGCUUUUGUAAAACUUGGCUAUAUGCUGGAAACUCCGUAGUAUCCGACAAUACUCCGCUCGUAGUGGAGUGAAAAUUUGUUCGGUGCGGACAAUCAGCAGGGAAGAACCAGCUUGGUUCCCCUCAACGACUAUACGCCAGGCUCCAAAUAUAAUUGGAGAAGAUAUAGUCUGAACUGCAUGGCAACAUGCAGAAUGCAGCAGAAAUGACUGCACCGGUGUUAAAAAUGACUUAUUUAACACUAAGUAACAAAAUUGAGCGUAAUCCCUUGCCGGGUAAGUUCCGGCCCGCAUGAAUGGCUUAACGAGUUGAAGACUGUCUCAACGAGGCGCCCGGUGAAAAUGCAAUAACAGUGAAGAUGCUGUUUACCUGCGGCUAGACGGAAAGACCCCGGAAGCUUUACUGUAGUUAGAUAUUGUGUAUUGAUUUUUAAUGCGUAGCGUAGUGGGUAGGAUUUGAAGCGGGAAUUUCGGUUCUCGUGGAUCCGAAAGUGAAACACCCAUCUUUAGAAAUUAAUAUUCUAAUCCACUUCACUGUGGUGACAGUGUUUAAUGGGCAGUUUAAGUGGGGCACUUGCCUCCUAAAAAGUAAUGGAGGCGUUUAAAGGUUGGUUAGCUUCGGAUGGAAAUCGAAGCGAUAGGGCAAAGCCAUAAACCAGCUUUACUGCAAGACGGCUAUGUCGCGCAGUUGCGAAAGCAGAACUUAGUGAACCGACGUGUUUUUAUAGAAAACACGAAGAUCAUCAGCCAAAAGCUACUCCGGGGAUAACAGGCUAGUAGAGCCCGAGAGUCCAUAUCGACGGCUCUGUUCGGCACCUCGAUGUCGGCUCAACUUAUCCUGGGGCUGGAGCAGAAUUUUUUCUACUCUCCUCUGCGGAAACGCAGGGGUAAUAUACAAGCUCAAAACGGGGAAAGCCUUAAUAGACUUGCAAGUUUGCAGGUCCCAGAUUAUAAUGAAUAAUAAUUAAGGGUAAUCCCGUGAGAAAAAUAUUCUCUGAAGUUAACAAGGCGUACAUUUCCGGUCUUUUAGAUGGAGAUGGAGCAAUCAUGGCCUGCAUUGAAAAACAUGCAGAGAAAAAGUUUGGUUUUAGAAUCAGAAUUUGCAUCAAAAUUAGUCAAAAUAACCUAAAAAUUCUCAAUUGGUGUAAAUCUGUAACUGGUUUAGGAAAUGUCCGUUUCGUAAAAAAGGAAGAAUACGAAUG
rnacentral:rRNA from 2 species